ensembl:snoRNA SNORD57 small nucleolar RNA, C/D box 57
CGGAUGUGAUGUGAAGCGCCCACCUGACCCCCCGUGGAGGCAAAAAGCUGAUUUAAUGAGGCUGAUCC